rnacentral:rRNA from 1 species
UACGUAGGGGGCAAGCGUUGUCCGGAUUUAUUGGGCGUAAAGGGUGCGUAGGUGGCGGGGUAAGUCAGGUGUGAAAUCUCGGAGCUCAACUCCGAAACUGCACUUGAUACUGCCUUGCUUGAGUACUGGAGAGGAGAUUGGAAUUUACGGUGUAGCAGUGAAAUGCGUAGAUAUCGUAAGGAAGACCAGUGGCGAAGGCGAAUCUCUGGACAGUUACUGACACUGAGGCACGAAGGCCAGGGGAGCAAACGGG